rnacentral:rRNA from 1 species
CCUACGGGAGGCAGCAGUAGGGAAUCUUCCGCAAUGGACGAAAGUCUGACGGAGCAACGCCGCGUGAACGAUGAAGGCCUUCGGGUCGUAAAGUUCUGUUGUUAGGGAAGAACAAGUGCUAGUUGAAUAAGCUGGCACCUUGACGGUACCUAACCAGAAAGCCACGGCUAACUACGUGCCAGCAGCCGCGGUAAUACGUAGGUGGCAAGCGUUGUCCGGAAUUAUUGGGCGUAAAGCGCGCGCAGGCGGUUUCUUAAGUCUGAUGUGAAAGCCCCCGGCUCAACCGGGGAGGGUCAUUGGAAACUGGGAAACUUGAGUGCAGAAGAGGAAAGUGGAAUUCCAAGUGUAGCGGUGAAAUGCGUAGAGAUUUGGAGGAACACCAGUGGCGAAGGCGACUUUCUGGUCUGUAACUGACGCUGAGGCGCGAAAGCGUGGGGAGCAAACAGGAUUAGAUACCCUGGUAGUCCACGCUGUAAACGAUGAGUGCUAAGUGUUAGAGGGUUUCCGCCCUUUAGUGCUGAAGUUAACGCAUUAAGCACUCCGCCUGGGGAGUACGGUCGCAAGCUGAAACUNAAAUUGAAUUGACGG